rnacentral:rRNA from 1 species
UGCAGUCGAGCGGUAACAGGAAAGUGCUUGCACUUUUGCUGACGAGCGGCGGACGGGUGAGUAAUGCCUAGGGAUCUGCCCAGUCGAGGGGGAUAACAGUUGGAAACGACUGCUAAUACCGCAUACGCCCUACGGGGGAAAGGAGGGGACCUUCGGGCCUUUCGCGAUUGGAUGAACUUAGGUGGGAUUAGCUAGUUGGUAAGGUAAUGGCUUACCAAGGCGACGAUCCCUAGCUGUUCUGAGAGGAUGAUCAGCCACACUGGGACUGAGACACGGCCCAGACUCCUACGGGAGGCAGCAGUGGGGAAUAUUGCACAAUGGGGGAAACCCUGAUGCAGCCAUGCCGCGUGUGUGAAGAAGGCCCUAGGGUUGUAAAGCACUUUCAGCGAGGAGGAAAGGUAAGUAGUUAAUAACUGCUUACUGUGACGUUACUCGCAGAAGAAGGACCGGCUAACUCCGUGCCAGCAGCCGCGGUAAUACGGAGGGUCCGAGCGUUAAUCGGAAUUACUGGGCGUAAAGCGUGCGCAGGCGGUUCGUUAAGCCAGAUGUGAAAGCCCCGGGCUCAACCUGGGAAUAGCAUUUGGAACUGGCGAACUAGAGUCUUGU